rnacentral:rRNA from 1 species
CUUGUAAUGGAGCUCAGGGUGAGGCCCCGGGUACCAUGAGGCUAGAGGUGAAAUUCUGAGACCCUCAGGGGACCAACUAAGACGAAAGCUGUCGUGGGCCACCACAAGCUCGUCUAUCAGGGACGAAAGUUGGGGGAUCGAAGACGAUUAGAUACCGUCGUAGUCCCAACUUAUAAACGAUACCAACCGAGUAUUUGGGAAGACACUAUCCCAGCGAUCUUCUCAGAACUCAAGGGAAACCUUAAGUCUUUGGGUUCUGGGGGGAGUAUAGUCGCAAGACCGAAACUUAAAGGAAUUGACGGAAAGGCACCACCAGGAGUGGAGUCUGCGGCUUAAUUCGACUCAACACGGGGAAACUCACCAGGUCAGGACACAAGUUUGAUUGACAGGUUAAUAGCCCUUUCUUGAUUGUGUGGUGGGUAGUGCAUGGCCGUUUCCAGUUCGUGGAGUGAUCUGUCUUGUUAAUUCAGAUAACGAACGAGACCUAAGCCUUUAACUAGCCGUAGGCCCUUUCCUUCGGGGAAGGGUUAGUUUAUCGGGACUGGCUUUUGGCCUUUUCCAAAACCUACGUGACUUUUGUCAGCUUCUUAAAGGGACUUCAUUCGUUCUAGUAGAAUGAGGAAGAUUUAGGCCAUAACAGGUCUGUGAUGCUCUUAGAUGUCCUGGGCUGCACGCGUACUACAAUAACGGUACCAGCGAGCGCUAUGGUUUUAUAACCCCUUAUCCUAAUAGGAUUGGGAAAACUUUUCAAACACCGUUAUGACAGGGAUCGAGGAUUGGAACAUCCUCGUGAACGAGGAAUUCCUAGUAAGCGUGGUUCAUCAUACCACAUUGAUUACGUCCCUGCCUUUUGUACACACCGCCCGUCGCUCCUACCGAUGGGACGAAGAGAUGACCUGGCGGACCGAGCCGCAAGGCAAGGGAAACCAGUUAAU